CGUUGUCGUCAGCUCGUGUCGUGAGAUGUUGGGUUAAGUCCCGCAACGAGCGCAACCCUUGUCAUUAGUUGCUACAUUCAGUUGGGCACUCUAAUGAGACUGCCGGUGACAAGCCGGAGGAAGGUGGGGAUGACGUCAAGUCCUCAUGGCCCUUAUAGGUGGGGCUACACACGUCAUACAAUGGCUGGUACAAAGGGUUGCCAACCCGCGAGGGGGAGCUAAUCCCAUAAAGCCAGUCGUAGUCCGGAUCGUAGUCUGCAACUCGACUACGUGAAGUCGGAAUCGCUAGUAAUCGUGGAUCAGAAUGUCACGGUGAAUACGUUCCCGGGUCUU
rnacentral:rRNA from 1 species